rnacentral:rRNA from 1 species
GACGAACGCUGGCGGCGUGCUUAACACAUGCAAGUCGAACGGAAAGGCCUGCUUUCCCUUGUGGAUUGCGGGUACUCGAGUGGCGAACGGGUGAGUAACACGUGAGUGAUCUGCCCCCAACUUGGGUAUAAGCCGGGGAAACUGGGUCUAAUUCCCGAUAGGACUGCAGGGUGGUGCCUGUGGUGGAAAACGAUUUUCUAGUGGUUGGGGAUGAGCUCGCGGCCUAUCAGCUUGUUGGUGGGGUAAUGGCCUACCAAGGCGGCGACGGGUAGCCGGCCUGAGAGGGUGGACGGCCACAUUGGGACUGAGAUACGGCCCAGACUCCUACGGGAGGCAGCAGUGGGGAAUAUUGCACAAUGGGCGGAAGCCUGAUGCAGCGACGCCGCGUGGGGGAUGACGGCCUUCGGGUUGUAAACUCCUUUCGACCGCGAGGAAGCCACCUGGUUGGAAGGGUGGUGACGGUAGUGGUAGAAGAAGCACCGGCUAACUACGUG